rnacentral:rRNA from 1 species
AUUGAACGCUGGCGGCAGGCUUAACACAUGCAAGUCGAGCGGAGAUGAGGUGCUUGCACCUUAUCUUAGCGGCGGACGGGUGAGUAAUGCUUAGGAAUCUGCCUAUUAGUGGGGGACAACAUUCCGAAAGGAAUGCUAAUACCGCAUACGUCCUACGGGAGAAAGCAGGGGAUCUUCGGACCUUGCGCUAAUAGAUGAGCCUAAGUCGGAUUAGCUAGUUGGUGGGGUAAAGGCCUACCAAGGCGACGAUCUGUAGCGGGUCUGAGAGGAUGAUCCGCCAAGCGUGGGCGGAGACACGGCCCAGACUCCUACGGGAGGCAGCAGUGGGGAAUAUUGGACAAUGGGGGGAACCCUGAUCCAGCCAUGCCGCGUGUGUGAAGAAGGCCUUAUGGUUGUAAAGCACUUUAAGCGAGGAGGAGGCUACUGAGACUAAUACUCUUGGAUAGUGGACGUUACUCGCAGAAUAAGCACUGGCUAACUCUGUGCCAGCAGCCGCGGUAAGAC